AUUUAACUGGGAAUGCUAGUUUUUGUUUGUUUUUUGUUUGCUUUUCUCAGUCUGGGAACCUGAGCUUUGAGAAAUUCUGAUCCACACUGAAGUUUGAGAACGACUUGGGUAGAGGCAAGACAAAGGCAUUGGAUUUAGACAGACCUGACUCCACCACUUUUUGAAAACUAUGGAUGGAAUUCCACAAAUAUGACUAUGACUGGCAUUUCCCUACGACAAAGGAGACCGUGGCAGAGAAGCAGAGAUGAGAAUGGAGAGCCAACCAACCUCAGGGCCUAGAGUUCAGUUUGGUAGCAGAAAGGGCCUGGAUUUCACCAGAAAAUUCAAACACACUCUAAGUGACUACCAUUCUACUGCCCAUAGGAUGCUAUUUUCACACCAAGCACAACGUUGGACGAUAUGGUUGAAAGGGUGGGGGUAGGGGUGGGGUUUGCAAGGGAAGGGAAAACAGAAAUCUCCUGUAGAGAGGGAAGAGUAUAAAGGGCACAGAAAAAGGGCAAUGACUUAGAACUGGUCAAGGUCAAUUUGUGUUCACAUCAGGCUGUCUACCAUUGACUUUGUAGCGAGAAAAGACUGGGGAAGAGUCACUCUCUUUGAAAUGAAGAACUUCCUGGGCAGUACUGGCUUUGUCCUGUGAGCCUCUAAAGCAGUGGUUUUCAUUCCGGAGUGAUUUUAACUUCCAGCAAUGUCCGAAGACAUUUUUAGUCGUCAAAGCAUUCCGGGAAGAGGAGCAUGCUACUGACAUCUAGUGGGUAGAGGCCAGAUACUGCUACAUCGUACAAAGCACAGGACAGCACCCUCACACACACCAAAGAAUUAGCCAGCAGCAAAUGUCAAGUUUCAAAGCUGAGAAACUCUGUUCUAAAGCAGAUUGGGGCCACGUGUGGUGGCUCACCCCUGUAAUCCCAGCACUUUUGGAGGCCAAGG
rnacentral:lncRNA from 1 species